GACGAACGCUGGCGGCGUGCUUAACACAUGCAAGUCGAACGGAAAGGCCCUGCUUUUGUGGGGUGCUCGAGUGGCGAACGGGUGAGUAACACGUGAGUAACCUGCCCUUGACUUUGGGAUAACUUCAGGAAACUGGGGCUAAUACCGGAUAGGAGCUCCUGCUGCAUGGUGGGGGUUGGAAAGUUUCGGCGGUUGGGGAUGGACUCGCGGCUUAUCAGCUUGUUGGUGGGGUAGUGGCUUACCAAGGCUUUGACGGGUAGCCGGCCUGAGAGGGUGACCGGCCACAUUGGGACUGAGAUACGGCCCAGACGCCUACGGGAGGCAGCAGUGGGGAAUAUUGCACAAUGGGCGGAAGCCUGAUGCAGCUACGCCGCGUGCGGGAUGACGGCCUUCGGGUUGUAAACCGCUUUCGCCUGUGACGAAGCGUGAGUGACGGUAAUGGGUAAAGAAGCACCGGCUAACUACGUG
rnacentral:rRNA from 1 species